rnacentral:rRNA from 1 species
CCUACGGGUGGCUGCAGUGAGGAAUAUUGGGCAAUGGACGCAAGUCUGACCCAGCCAUGCCGCGUGCAGGAAGACAGCCUUAUGGGUUGUAAACUGCUUUUAUCAGGGAAUAACCCCCCGGUCGAGUAUCGGGGCUGAAGGUACCUGAAGAAUAAGCAUCGGCUAACUCCGUGCCAGCAGCCGCGGUAAUACGGAGGAUGCAAGCGUUAUCCGGAUUUAUUGGGUUUAAAGGGUGCGCAGGCGGGUUUGUAAGUCAGCGGUGAAAUCCUACGGCUCAACCGUAGAACUGCCAUUGAUACUGCAGACCUUGAGUGUAUUUGAAGUGGGCGGAAUGUAGCAUGUAGCGGUGAAAUGCAUAGAUAUGCUACAGAACACCAAUUGCGAAGGCAGCUCACUAAACUACAACUGACGCUCAUGCACGAAAGCGUGGGGAGCAAACAGGAUUAGAUACCCCAGUAGUC